rnacentral:rRNA from 1 species
GACGAACGCUGGCGGCGCGCCUAACACAUGCAAGUCGAACGGAGCUUAGAGAGCUUGCUUUUUAAGCUUAGUGGCGAACGGGUGAGUAACGCGUGAGUAACCUGCCCUAGAGUGGGGGACAACAGUUGGAAACGACUGCUAAUACCGCAUAAGCCCACGGUACCGCAUGGCACUGAGGGAAAAGGAUUUAUUCGCUUUAGGAUGGACUCGCGUCCAAUUAGCUAGUUGGUGAGGUAACGGCCCACCAAGGCGACGAUUGGUAGCCGGACUGAGAGGUUGAACGGCCACAUUGGGACUGAGACACGGCCCAGACUCCUACGGGAGGCAGCAGUGGGGGAUAUUGCACAAUGGGGGAAACCCUGAUGCAGCGACGCCGCGUGAGUGAUGAAGUAUUUCGGUAUGUAAAACUCUAUCAGCAGGGAAGAUAAUGACGGUAUCUGACUAAGAAGCACCGGCUAAAUACGUG